rnacentral:lncRNA from 1 species
UCAUAAUACAUGCAAUGAUGACAAAGCCAGGUGAAAAGGCGAUGAUGGUCAUUAAGUUCAAGAUGGGGAGGGGUUGGGGUGAGGGCUGGCCUGUCUGAGGAGGGGCAUUUGCAGUGCUGGAGCAAGCCAUGGAGGACAGGAAUUGCUCCAGUCAGAGGAACAGCAAGGACAAGGGGCCCAAGACGGCAUGUACUAGAGGCUCCACGCAUAGAAAAAGCCAGCCAUCCCCAGCGCUGUAACUGAGUGGCCAGUGGUGGGAGGUACUGUGUCACGCAAGGUGCUGAGUGCUUUACCUGUGGUGUCUUAUUUGACCUUCACAAGCACCCUGAGAGGAAGUUAAGGAUAUUAUCCUUUUCAGCACUGGUCUUUGUAAUAGUUAAUUUUAUGCAUCAACUUGACUGGAUCACAGUGUGCCCAGAUAUUUGAUCAAACAUUAUUCUGAGUGUUUCCGUGACAAUGUUUUUGGAUACAAUCAACAUUUAUUUAAUUGGUUGAAGACCUGAAUAGAACAAAGAGUUCAAUUCUCUCAAGUAAGAGAAUUCCUCCUGUCUGACUACUUCAGAAUUGGGACAUUGGCUUUUUCCUGCCUCUACACUACAACUACACCAUCAAGCCUUCAGACAUGGAAAGGAACCACACUAUUGGCUCUCCUCGGUCUUCAGCUUGCCAACUCAAUGCAGAUCUUUGCAUUUGUCAGCCUUAUAACCAUGUGAGCUAAUUCCCUAAAAUAAAUGUCCUCAUUUAAAUGUAUUUCCUA